GACUCAUGUUUCAGGUAGGAUUUGACAUCAUCAAUGAAAAGGUUUGGCACCUCGACAUUGGCCCUUCACCACCUAGGGUGGUAGUCUAUUCCAAGGGUUGGGUUGUUCGCCCAUUAAAGGGGUACAUGAGUUGGGUUUAGAACAUCAUGAGACACUUC
rnacentral:ncRNA from 1 species